GGAGCAGGGCAAGGUUUCUGUAGUGCAGCUCAAGCCAAAAACACAUCAGCAUUUACACACACACACACACACACACACACAUAUAUAUAUAUAUAUAUAAUCUUUCUUCAGUUUUUAGUUUAAAUGAUCAAGCUUCAUUUUCUUUCCUGGAGUGGAAGCAAUACAAACAAAUGUCCCUGCUGCCAAUCCAGCUGCUCCUGGGGGAUGUUCCUGCCAUGAAGUGUCCUGGGAUAUCUGAACCACCCUGCUGGUCCUCCUGUGCCCAGGUGCUGUGCUGUUACUGGGAAAAUCAUGUGCAGGAGCCUCAGUCACACACGAGACAGUGGCACAGUGAUUACACUGAUUACAGAUCUGCUUAGACAUGCAGGAGGAGAAAUAAAUUGAAUUUCUACCAGAGAUUAUCUUUUAAA
rnacentral:lncRNA from 1 species